rnacentral:rRNA from 1 species
UACGUAGGGUGCGAGCGUUGUCCGGAAUUACUGGGCGUAAAGAGCUCGUAGGUGGUUUGUCGCGUUGUUCGUGAAAUCCCACGGCUUAACUGUGGGCGUGCGGGCGAUACGGGCAGACUGGAGUACUGCAGGGGAGACUGGAAUUCCUGGUGUAGCGGUGAAAUGCGCAGAUAUCAGGAGGAACACCGGUGGCGAAGGCGGGUCUCUGGGCCGAUACUGACACUGAGGAGCGAAAGCGUGGGGAGCGAACAGG